rnacentral:rRNA from 1 species
UACGUAGGGUGCGAGCGUUGUCCGGAAUUAUUGGGCGUAAAGGGCUCGUAGGCGGUUUGUCGCGUCGGGAGUGAAAACCGGGUGCUUAACACCUGGCUUGCUUUCGAUACGGGCAGACUAGAGGUAUGCAGGGGAGAACGGAAUUCCUGGUGUAGCGGUGAAAUGCGCAGAUAUCAGGAGGAACACCGGUGGCGAAGGCGGUUCUCUGGGCAUGACCUGACGCUGAGGAGCGAAAGUGUGGGGAGCGAACAGG